CUGAGAAUGAUGUCAGUCCUGGCAGCCAUCGAGGAGGGCACCAAAUUUGACCGAGGGAAUGGAGUGAAGUCUGCCUCCAUGGUGACUGUUCUAAAGUAAGACGGCUGAACGUAGUCUCCAUAGCAGUACCUCAAACUCACGCUUUCCUGAGUUUUGAAGAGGCUAGUCUAAAGGGAACAAGAGUCAUUUGCCUGCUCUUGAGCUGUCCAAUGAGUACGACUGUGCUUUCAACAAGUUUGCAGCCACCCAAGCAAAUCACCAUGGGCCACUUUCAAGGUAUGUAGCCUGCCUUGACAUAUUACAAAGUUAUCAAAUCAACAGAAAAGUGUAAAUGUAACCAUAAUAUUCAGGAGGUGUUCCUUUUAUUUUUUUUGAUUAACUGAAGCCUGUUUUCAAUCAAUUGUGGAUGGUGGUGUAUGUGAAUGUUGUCAGUGUGGAUGUGUCUGCUGGAUGACCUCUUUGCUGGAAAAGCCAGGGUUUGCCAUCAGAGCUGAACGGGUCACUCCAUGGGUCUGUCCAACAAUUACAGCUACAACUUCAAAUCAAAUCAAAGUUUAUUUGUCACGUGCACCCAAAUACAACAGGUGUAGACCUUACAGUGAAAUGCUUACUUAUAGGCGCUUACCAAUAGUGCAAAAAAGGCAUUAGGUGAACGAUAGGUAGGUAAAGAAAUAAAACAACAGUAAAAAGACAGGCUAUAAAAGUAGCGAGGCUACAUACAGACACCGGUUAGUCAGGCUGAUUGGGCCACCCCAGGUGGUGAGGGUAGGCAACAACAUCU